rnacentral:lncRNA from 1 species
CCAUACCUCACAGGAAACCAAGGCCCCCUAUAGCCACGCUCAUAGUGGAAGAGAGGAUCCCUUUACAGUGCUCUUCUGAUUCCCAGGAAGCAAGUUUCUACCAGCGUGGGCUGAUGCUCAUGGAGGCCUCCAGCACCAGCAGCUGCCCCUGCAGCCUCCAACAGCUCCAAGACAGUGAAGCCCCUGUGGGGAGAGGAGGGAGAGCAGAGCUCAGUGGGCAGGAGACAGUACCUGAAUGGGGGAAUGAGGAUGAAGAAAAAUAAAGACAAAGAGAUAAAGUCGGGAGGGCUCCCAGAGACCGAGCACCCAAGUUUAUUUUUCUCCUCUCUUUUAUACAACGGUAAUUACUUGAGCCAGGAUUACGCUGAAGACACUAGAGGAAAUACCAAGAGGAGUAGAGUGAGCUUCUGACCCCACCCCACAAACACAGACACCGCUGAUUCAAGGCAGCAGAACAGGGAAGGUUGGGAAUGCUCCAGGGCUGGAGAACAACGAGAACAAAUCCAAUUCACCCAGGAGGAAAUCCAUGGAUCAUCAAGACACUUCUUUACUCUCUUCUAUAUGCCAGGCAAUUUUUGCUCACACGGUCUCAUUUCAUCUUUGAAAAGCAAUAAAG